rnacentral:rRNA from 1 species
UACGAAGGGGGCUAGCGUUGCUCGGAAUUACUGGGCGUAAAGGGCGCGUAGGCGGAUCGUUAAGUCAGAGGUGAAAUCCCAGGGCUCAACCCUGGAACUGCCUUUGAUACUGGCGAUCUUGAGUAUGAGAGAGGUAUGUGGAACUCCGAGUGUAGAGGUGAAAUUCGUAGAUAUUCGGAAGAACACCAGUGGCGAAGGCGACAUACUGGCUCAUUACUGACGCUGAGGCGCGAAAGCGUGGGGGAGCAAACAGGAUUAGAUACCCUGGUAGUCCACGCCGUAAACGAUGAUUGCUAGUUGUCGGGCUGCAUGCAGUUCGGUGACGCAGCUAACGCAUUAAGCAAUCCGCCUGGGGAGUACGGUCGCAAGAUUAAAACUCAA